GUAGACUUGACUUUGAGGGAGGAGACAGACCUUAAAAAAGAGGAUGCUACAAGGAGUUCACGGUAAAUUUUCCAGAAGUAAUUCUUCCGUCCGGCUAUACCGAUGUUGUUCUUCCAGUUGAGGUGCUUGAGUCUGGGCUGUCUGCUCAUCCACAAUGGGGGCAUGGUCUUCUGUUGAUGUUUGGUCAACGAUGACAGAUGACGAUGGUGAAAAGCAUGUUGCUUGAAUAUUUACAACAGGACUUCCCUCUACACAAAGAACAGUUUGUUAUAACUUACGUGGAGGAGUAGUGGGCAUCUCUCCACUUCCGAAGGCUGCUACUGGUGGGAUCCGAAUCCGAGUUACUAACACUGUUAAAUAUAGAAUAAAAUCAGCACAAGCCAAGGUACUUACCAGAACUAGGCUGAGGCGUGCUUGGGGCUGAUCGCCCUGCAGAGUGUUUUCGGUGAUCUGGAAAACAUCAAGGAUAAGAGACAGG